rnacentral:tRNA from 1 species
GGGGGCAUAGCUCAGUUGGUUAGAGCGCUUGCGUCACAAGCAAGAGGUCACUGGUUCGAAUCCAGUUGUCCCCACCA